CGCCUUGCCAGCCCGCUCAGAACUUAAGGAAUUGACGGGGGCCGCACAAGCGGUGGAGCAUGUGGUUUAAUUUCGAUGAUACGCGAGGAACCUUACCUGGGCUCAAAUGUAUGUUGACGUAUUCUGAAAGGGAUACUUCUUCGGACAAUAUACAAGGUGCUGCAUGGUUGUCGUCAGCUCGUGCCGUGAGGUGUCGGGUUAAGUCCCGCAACGAGCGCAACCCCUAUUGCUAGUUACCAUCAUUAAGUUGGGGACUCUAGCGAGACUGCCAGUGAUAAACUGGAGGAAGGUGGGGAUGACGUCAAAUCAUCAUGCCCCUUAUGACCUGGGCUACAAACGUGAUACAAUGGCUGGAACAAAGGGAUGCGAAGCAGUGAUGUGGAGCGAAACCCAUAAAAACAGUCUCAGUUCGGAUUGAAGUCUGCAACUCGACUUCAUGAAGUCGGAAUCGCUAGUAAUCGCGGAUCAGAACGCCGCGGUGAAUACGUUCUCGGGGUUU
rnacentral:rRNA from 1 species